rnacentral:rRNA from 1 species
UACGAAGGGGGCUAGCGUUGCUCGGAAUCACUGGGCGUAAAGGGUGCGUAGGCGGGUCUUUAAGUCAGAGGUGAAAUCCUGGAGCUCAACUCCAGAACUGCCCUCGAAACUGGCGAUCUUGAGUUCGGGAGAGGUGAGUGGAACUGCGAGUGUAGAGGUGAAAUUCGUAGAUAUUCGCAAGAACACCAGUGGCGAAGGCGGCUCACUGGCCCGAUACUGACGCUGAGGUGCGAAAGCGUGGGGAGCAAACAGG